rnacentral:lncRNA from 1 species
UUUUCUCAUUCAUCCAUGUAAAAGAGGUGUUGCAGGAGUUCCCGUUGGGGCUCAGUGGGUUAAGAACCCAGCUAGUAUCCACGAGGAUGCAGGUUUGAUCCCCGGCCUCGCUCAGUGGAUUAAGGAUCCGGUGUUGCUGCAAACUGCUGCUUAGAUCACAGAUGCAGCUUGAAUCUGGUAUGGCUGUGGCUGUGGCUGUGGCCUCAGGUGCAGCUCUGAUUUGACCCCAGCCCAGGAACUUCCAUAUGCCGCAGAGCAGCCCUGAAACGAACAAACAAAAAGGCGCAGGCUGGGGGUGGGGGGGGAUAGUACAUCAAAUCGCAUGAAUGAUGACCAAAAAUAAAAAACACACACACGGAACCAGGGCUCAGACACCCACACUGGCUGGAGGGAAAAUCUACUGUAUGCGUUCACUCUAACAAAGUUCUAGAAGAGACGAAACACAUCUGUAAGGCUGCAAAGCACGACUUGGAAUCACCAUGAAGGAAGCCUUGUGGAUUGUAGAGAUGAUGUCUUUCUCAGUUGAGUUGGAGGUUGCCUAAGUGUAGACAUGUGUCAGAACUCAGUGGAGAGUUUUGAUAUGGUCCCAUCGCCCCAGUGGAGGUGAAACUAACCGCCGAGGGGUCAAGGGAUCAGCACAAAGUCAUUAGCGGUGACUCAGAGAAGAGGCCGGAGCAUCUCCAGGGUCCCCUUUACACACGUCUCCUCGGCGCCUCUUGCCUGCAGGUCCUCAGAUGAUGAACCUGACCUUCUCCGAUUUAAUGUCGCCCUCCUCGACUAGAGCGCUGAGGAAACCAGCAAACCCUCGAUGCCCAGAACACAGGGUAUAGCAAGGAAAAGAGACGAGAGGAACCUCAAAGCAGAAAACAAGUGACAAAGUGGUGGACGUAAAUCAACGCCAGUUAAAAGUCAGAGUUUGUCAGCAUGGCGAACACAGCAAGACCCAAAGAGAAGAGUGUGCAUAGGAGCUGCACCGAGACAUGUUUCGGUUGAGAACAAGUGGGUCAUAACGGACAGUCAAGGCAAGCAGAAAACAUACAAAGACUGGAUCGGCUGUAUUAAGUCAGAACGACGGCUUUAAAACAGAGUAUCACCAGUGAUUCAGAGAAACAUUCCACGAUGUAAAAGAAUAAACUCAUCAGGAAGUCGGAAGACUCCCUGAUGCAUAUGGACCCAAUAACCGAGCCUGAAACUACAUAAAGCAAACAGAGGCGCAAUUAAAUUAAAGGAGAGGUGGAUAAUUCCAUAAUCGUGCCAAGGAAGAUGUAACAUCCCCUCUCCCCAAAUGACAAAAAUCAGUAAAGUCAGAGAACAUCUGAACAGCUCCCUCUCAGGUCAGAGCCUGUCCCGUGUUAGUUACUGUGGGUAGCAGCAUGCUGAGGAGGAUGAAAAUUGUGAGCUCAGAAGGGUGUUUCCAUCACUGAUGUCCCGGUGGACACAGAAGAGGGGAAAGAGGGCUGCUCACGGACCAGUGACCUUCUUAACCCCAGGGGAAUCCCUUGGGGAGCCUUUCAAAAAGACUGCACCCUCACGUGGUGACGUCGCCGCAAAUCAUUUGUGGCACAGGCCAGGCCUGUCCUUUUUCUGAAAUCUCCCCAGAUGAUUUUAUAGAGGAGUGAGGAUCAAAACCCACUGUCUUAAACGGUGACAAGGCGGACACUUGUACACUCAUGACGAGAAUGUAAAACACGCAUCAGGACCUUCGACGCAUCAUUUUAUCUCGAAAUCUCAUUUCUAGGGAAAUGAUGAUGUGCCCAUAUGACUUAUACUUGAGUGCCUUUUCCAGUUCUGUUUGUAAUAGCAAUAAUGACAGAUGAUAGAUAGAUAAAGAUAGAUUCGAUAGAUGCCUAGAUACAUAAAUAGAUAACCGGAAAGAGGGAAGUUGAGAGAGAGGGAGGGAGAAAGGAAACAGUUACUCAGCAGUAUGGAGUCGGUUAAAUAAAUUUAAAUCAAGGUACAGCAGAUAUCUCCUCGAUGAUGUUGAUAUGUAUUUCACAUCAAAUACGUACAUAACCAGGUAAGUGAGAAAAUUAUGUUGUAAAGUGGUCUUUAAAAGGUAUCAAUUUUGAGAAAACAGAUGUGUACCCAGACAGAGAAAACGUCUUAAAGGUUCUGCUUCAGAAUGGCAAUCAUGAUUAUCUCAGGUGACAGUAUUUUCGUCCAUUUAAAUACUCUUUUUGUUUCUAAUUUGCGUGAAAUGAAUUCCCUUUUUUUUUUUUUAGGUCAUAAAAGUACCCGCUCUGAAAUGGGACAGUGUUUCAUCUCGUCAGCUCUCAUCCUUGCAAGGGGGUCGAGUGGAUUAUUAUUCAUGCUGGUUAAGGAAUUACGAAGAAUUUUAGAACAGCUCUGUGCAAGGGUGUGGGAACCGCUCCAUUACCUUAGGUGAAAACAAACAAGGGAGGCUCCCUUUGAUCCGUGGGUGCCCAUGACUUUCGGCUUUUCUCUGGGUGGAUCUGGACCCAGCCUGCAGAGGGUGAGGCCAGCCGCUACCUGCCUGCUGUCCUUUCCAAGGCAUGCCUGGGAAAGUGGGAGCUGCCCCGAUCUCCAACCAACUAUCUUUCCAUCCCAAGACGUUCCCACCUGUCGAUCUGUCUUCUUCCAAGUGGAAGGAAUUCAGGCAGCCUCCUCCAGAAGAAAUGGAAACAAAGCCCAGUUCCUUGGGAUUCUC